ACAUUAAUAAUGAUCCAAAAAAUAAUUUUAAUUCAGAAUAUGAAAGAGAAAAAUAUUUGAAAUUUUUUGGUGAAAGUCCCAUAUUUUUUGGAACAAUAUUGAAUUUAAUAUGAACUAUUGAAGAAAAUGAAAUAAAAAGGAAAAUCAGAAAUUGCAAAAAUACGUGGACCAUCAGAUCUCCCUCAUUAAUUGAGGUGGCAGAUCUGAU
rnacentral:lncRNA from 1 species